rnacentral:lncRNA from 1 species
UGGCCGGCCAAAGAAGAACAAAGGAGGAAAGGAAAAAAACAAGAACCCUAGGUGGGAAAAUUGAAGAAAAAGUGUGGGAUUUCAAGGGAUUAAGCUAAUAAAGGUAAAAUUUCUUGAUUUUGACUUGUGAUUUACACUACCCAUGCUUUCUUUUUCAUUUUCCAUGGUUAGAUUUCAUGUUUUCAUGGUGAAUUCAUGGCUGGUUGGAAUGGGUAUGGAGAGAGAAUGAAGUUGGAUUGAUUUGAUUCUAAGUUAUGUUAGUGUUUUUAGUUAGUUUAUCAUGUCUAGAAACAAACCAACAAGAAAAAUUCAUUUUCUCCCAUUACCCAUCAUUGGCCGAAUUUUCUAGGGAGGAUAUUGUGGCUGAAAUUGAUGAUAUUUCAUGAUAUUUUGGUGAUAUUUGAUGUUUGGUGAGGCUAAAAAUUAAAUGGGAAAUUUUGGUGUGAAAAUCUAAAUUUUUGUUUAACGUAUAGAUAUGUGUGAUUAUUGACCCAAUACUAAUAAAUUGAAUCUCAUUCACAGUCAUUGAGGUAAUUUAGGUAUAAUUGGAGUAUUAAAAGUGAGAAGAAUUGAUUUGAAGUUAUAUUGGAGAUUUUAGCCGAUUAGACCGAGUAUAGUGUGACUUAGGUCGAAUAUCACAUUUAAGUGAUUAAUCGGAUAUUUUUGCAUCCCAUUGCAUGCAUUCAUUUAGAUUUAGAGAGCCUGAAAUAGUUUAUGAUAAAUUGACACAAUUUAUUGAAAUUCGUGUCAGUAUGAUGUAUAGGUGGUAAGCCCUCUAACAAGGGUAAAGAGAUUGUACCCGAAGAUCGAGAAUAGGAGUAUAUUGAACUCCUAAUAUAGUGAGUAACCUUACUAUCGUCUUAAUUAUCUAGAGUGGUUUUUAUUCGAUUUUGUAGAUUUUAUGGAAAAUGAGUUUAAAUGGCAAAUCUUUUUGUUUUACAAACAAAACGUGUUUAAAUAAAAUGAUUUUAUAAAUUGUCUUGAAAUUGAAUGAUGACUUUGAAAAUAGAGUAACUGGAGACCACUUGAGGUGUUGUAAAUUCAUGGUUUGAAUUGACUGGCUUAUGACAAUAUUUGUAUGAAUGGUUGAAUUGGUAUUUGUGUUGAAAUAUAUGAACUGUGUAUUUAGCCUUGAAAGGCUGUGAAUUACAAUAAUUGCCAUAUCAUGUUAUUGAAUUUUAUUGAUUGGUGGGAUAAUGAUGAGCUUACUGCAGUGGGCGGGUUUUCGUGGACCAGCCUAUUAGAGGGGCACGGUAAACCCCGUUAUAUCUUACCUCGGUAUGAGAGGCGCGAGUGGAUAACUCAUGAGGCUAACACUUUUAGAGUUCACUUCACGCCAAACCACCACAUGAGGGUGAACUCAGCCAACGCCAAGGAACGACUAUGUUUUCAAAAUAAAAACAUAAUUUAUGCGUACAUGACUUUUUAACAGCCUUGGUGGACUCGGUUAGGAUAGCCCUCAAUCAAGGCAUCCCUGAUAACUGAGUAUGAGAAUGAUUUUUGGCACGAACCAAGCUUUUCAGGAAAUCAUAAGCCUAGUUGUUUAUUGGUUGAAAUAAGUUGAAAGGUAAUGAAAUUACAGUAUGAUGAUUUAUUUUAAUUGUCUCUAUUUACUCAGUUUUAGAUAUUUUAAAUGGUAUUUGUUUACUCACUGGGAUUAUAUAAUCUCACCACCCUCAUUUCCACCCAUUUCAGACUUAGGAUAGUGUGUAGAUAGCUGAUAUCGUCGAAGGCUAUAGUCGGCUUUACUACUCCAAAAAUUGUAGGUUUACUGCCUUUGUGCACUUUUGUUCCUUGUGGGCCCACGAGUCACUGUAAAGUAAAUUUCAUAUCCCGGUUAUCUGUAUUGUAGUACAUAUAAAUUUAUUUAGCUUUUUCAUUACAAAAAAAAUUAAUUACCGAUGAAUCUAUAAAUAUUGUUUUACAAGAAAUUAGAAUAUUUUAUUGAAUAUUUUUAUUUUAUUCAAAUAGUUGCAAUAUCAUUUUUAAUAAAUGUUUUAGACACUCAAAUUUAUUUUAAAUCAUGAAAUAUGUGUUUUUCACUCAUCUACUACAUUUUUAGUCGGGUUUGAAAAAUUUUGAGGAAAAAUGACGAAAACGCCAUUGUGAGGUAAAAAUUAUUUUUCCCCGAUUUUGAAAGGGAAAAAGCUUAAAAUUCUUUAAAAAUGAGGUUUGGCGAUGAUUACUCACAAGGGAGAUGAGAAAAAUUGUACUAAAGCCUUGCGGGGUUCCGAUUGGCAUUUCGGGUAACGAAUGUCUACUAGGACGUCGCGACUGUUGUCACGGGCUUGAAAGUAGUACCGGGUCAUGAUAAUUUUAUUAAUAUUAGAGCUUUUGGCUUUAAAGAUAAGAGUUUUUGGUUUUCAAGUUAUUUUGAAAACUAUAGUGUCAGUGUGGCCCAAGUUAAGUUAAGUUAAGUUAGGUUUGAUAAAAUAGAAUACAUGCAUCUGCAUAUAGAAUUUGGAGUUGUUUAGACUCGUUUUAUUUCUUCUUAUAGAUCUUAUGGGAGCAUAAGUCAUAGACAAGGAGCUAUAUGAACUCUUGUUCCCAAUAAUCCACUUCUUUGUUAAUGUCAUGCAAAGGUCAUAAGUAGGGCCGUUGUCCGGAUUUAAGAUGCUACCCGUGACACGAGCCAGUGUUAGAGAGUUCUUAAAACGAAUGCUCUUAAUGAAAGAUUAAUGAAAUGAUAUAUACCUCCGAUUAAGGAUGAAAAAAUUUGGAGUUGGACUAAUAGGUCGUAAUAAUUUAUUCAUUUGGGGGAGUUAUAAUUGAACUCAUGGUUGUCAAUUGGAAAAAGAUUUAGGGACUAUGAGAUUUCAAGAAUUGUUUGGACCUAUUAUAGUUCAUGGAUAUAAGCACGUGAAUUAACUCGAGAGUGAGUAUCAAUGAUUACUAUAAUUGAUGUGAGGUCAUGAAGUAAGAAGCUAGUUAACAGAUCUGCUCUAAGGAUGAGCUUGAACUUAGCUAUGCAUAGAAAAAAAGAGAGCCAAGGGAUUAAAUGACUAAAUUUGGAAUUGGCAGCUUGAGGUUAAAUGACUUGGAAAUGUUGAAUCUAUUCUAAAUGGCAUAUGAAGUUUUAUAAUUAAGACUGAUUACGAAUUACUUGAAAGAUCAAUUUAAAAGUUUAUUCGGUUCAAAGUGUGGCCUAUGAUACGAAUGAUCAGUCUUGAAGGUGAUCUCCCCAGAGUAAGAAAUUUAGAAAAUGUUGAUGCUGGAUAUACUCUAAGAGAGAGAACUUCUGCAUCCUAAGUUUAAGACAACUUUGAUCUUAUAAUUGCAAAGGCAAGGUGUAAUAACUAAGUAAAUUUUUCGCUUAACAAAUGUGAUUGGUUAUUGGUGGAUAAAGUCAAGAUCUUAACAUUUAGUGGUGUACAAUUUGAUAAUUAUGUAUUUAAGAGUUAUUUGGAGACAAUUCCUUCAUCAAAUUUGCACUAAAUGCUAUGGUAAAGGCAUAUCAAUGUUAAUAUGGAAAUGUAUCCAGGAAUGAUCUUAACAUAUCACCAAAGGAGAAUUAAACAUGUUGAAAUUAAUGUUCUAAUAGUGUGCAUAUGAUCGAAAGCUAGUUUGUAAGUUGUAGUUUUCAUGAUCAUGAAAUAUAUAAAGAUUAUCAAUAUAUGGACAUACAUUUGGAGUUGUAAUUUACAAGUUUGGAGUAUUUAAGAUAUGAUUAAAUGGAAUUGGCAUUAAUUAAGGUACGUAAAUCUUCUAAUUAAAUUUUGUGGAGUAUGCAUGAUAGUAGAAUAGAGGAAUAUAGUGCCGUGAUACUAUACGGUGAAGUUACUAUACAAUAUAGAAAGAGUGUUCUAAAGUGAGAUUUAUUUACUGAUGAUAAGUGAUGGCCAAUCUGAGAUACAUGUAGUUAUUAAUAAAUUUGGAGAUUUUUUCUUGAGCAAACUCGUACUAAAUGUUAUGGUAAAGAUAUAUGAAUGUUAGUGGAAAAAUAAAUACGUUAAAUCAAUGUUCUAAUCGCACAUUUGUGAUAGAAAGUUAGUCUUGUUAAUUGUGGUAUAGACUCAGAGGGAAGCCACACGAUUGUGAAUAAUUGAGGUAGUAGUUUUAAAGGUGGAAGAGUUGUUGGGAUAAAGUGAAUUCAAACUGUUGUAACGCCACAAUACUGACUAUCAAACUCUGUCACGUUAAGAACCCCUAAUGGCUAGAAAGCAAGAGUAAACUGUAAGCAGCAUAAAGAUGAAACUCACGAGUUGAAACAUGGUUAUUGGUUUUGAUGCUAAGCUUUGUUGUUGGAGUCUUAAGUGCAUUGGGGAGGUAUUAAGAUAAAGAUGAUGAGUGAAAUUGCAGAGUUUCUUUAUUGCCUUAUAUAUGGGCAUGUAAGAAAAAGAAAAGUUAGAGAGUUUUUGAGAUGGCUACAUAAAAAAAAUAAAUUAACAUGUGGAGUGUUAAAAGGAAUGAUAUGUUGACUAAAGUCAAAUCUUCAUAAAUUAAGUGAAUCUUAUAAAAGGUUAAAGAGGAAGUGAAGGAAAGGUUAGAUGAUUAUAUGAGAUGUUGAUAAGAGAUGUCAAUACCAAGUGAUGAGAGUGUGAAUGGAGAUUUCAAGAAUGAUAUAGCAAAUGAGUUUAUAUAGAAUAUUGUUAUGAGAAUGUAAUAAUCUUGUCUUGACUUUGUUGAAAGGAAAGGAUUAGUGACAACACAAGUAAAUUACGGGGUAUGAUAGAAAUCCUUGGAGAUAAGUUGAAGCAUGAGUAGUUGGGCAUGCCUUUAUGGAAAUGAUAUACUUGGAGUAUGAAAGAGUAAAUAAGUGAUUAAGUGUUUCAAGAAUAUUUAAACAUAUUUGAGGAAAAAUUAUAAAAUUUUACGAGAUUAGUAUGAGAUGUGUGAUUUUGAAAUUUGCUAAGGAGCCAAAUGGCUAAGUCACAAGUUAAGUGAUCAUAUGCUGUGAGACAUAAGUCUAAGGUAGAUAUUCCCAAGGAAAUACUCAAGAAGAGUUUUGUUACGGAUUUUGUGGAAGCUAGCAUUAAAUUAUGUGGCUAUAAAGAGGAAGCCGUAAGUUGGAAGUGAAAUUCAUAUUGACAUUGAAAAGUACUUAGAAGAACCUUAUUUCAAGUCUUACAGUUUUAAGUACAAACUGCAGAUUGGUCUAGGGAGAAUGAUAUCACAUUAGACACAUGGCAUAUUUAUAACCAUUAAAUAUUUAGCUUUAAAAUUAAAACAAAAUCAGCCCAUUUCUUAUUGAUAUGGCCGGCCAAAGAAGAACAAAGGAGGAAACGAAAAAAACAAGAACCUUAGGUGGGAAAAUUAAAGAAAAAGUGUGGGAUUUCAAGGGAUUAAGCUAAUAAAGGUAAAAUUUCUUGAUUUUGACUUGUGAUUUACAAUACCCAUGCUUUCUUUUUCACUUUCCAUGGUUAGAUUUCAUGUUUUCAUGGUGAAUUCAUGGCUGGUUAGAAUAAGUAUGGAGAGAGAAUGAAGUUGGAUUGAUUUGAUUCUAAGUUAUGUUAGUGUUUUUAGUUAGUUUAUCAUGUCUAGAAACAAACCAACAAGAAAAAUUCAUCUUCUCCCACUACCCAUCAUUAGUCGAAUUUUCUAGGGAGGAUAUUGUGGCUGAAAUUGAUAAUUUUUCAUGAUAUUUUGGUGAUAUUUGAUGUUUGGUGAGGCUAGAAAUUAAAUGGGAAAUUUUGGUGUGAAAAUCUAAAUUUUUGCUUAACGUAUAGACAUGUGUGAUUAUUGACCCGGGACUGAUAAAUUGAAUCUCAUUCACAGUCACUAAGGUAAUUUAGGUAUAAUUGGAGUGUAGAAAGUGAGAAGAAUUGAUUUGGAGUUAAAUUGGAGAAUUUAGCUGAUUAGACCGAGUAUAGUGUGACUUAGGUCGAAUAUCACAUUUAAGUCAUUAAUCGAACAUUUUGCAUCCCAUCGCAUACAUUCAUUUAGAUUUAGAGAGCCUGAAAUAGUUUAUGAUAAAUUGACACAAUUUAUUGAAAUUCGUGUCACGUAUGAUGUAUAGGUGAUGAGCCCUCUAACAAGGGUAAAGAGAUUAUGCCCGAAGACCCGAAAUAGGAGUAUAUCGAACUCCUAGUACAGUGAGUAACCUUACUAUCAUCUUAAUUAUCUAGAAUGAUUUUUAUUCGAUUUUGUGGAUUUUAUGGAAAAUGAGUUUAAAUGGUAAAUCUUUUUGUUUUACAAACAAAACGUGUUUAAAUAAAAUGAUUUUAUAAAUUGUCUUGAAAUUGAAUGAUGACUUUGAAAAUAGAGUAACUAGAGACCACUUAAGGUGUUGUAAAUUCAUGGUUUGAAUUGAUUGACUUAUGACAAUAUUUGCAUGAAUGGCUGAAAUAGUAUUUGUGUUGAAAUAUAUGAACUGUGUAUUUAGCCUUGAAAGGCUGUGAAUUACAAUAAUUGUCAUAUCAUGUUAUUGAAUUUUAUUGAUUAGUGGGAUAAUGAUGAGCUUACUGCAGUGGGCGAGUUUUCGUGGACCAGCCUAUUAGAGGGGCAAGGUAAACCACAUUAUAUCUUACCUCGGUAUGAGAGGCACGGGUGGAUAACUCCUAAGGCUAACACUUUUAGAGUUCACUUCACGCCAAACCACCACAUGAGGGUGAACUCAGCCAACGUCAAGGAACGGCUAUGUUUUCAAAAUAAAAACCUAAUUUAUGCGUACAUGACUUUUUAACAGCCUUGGCGGACUCGGUUGGGAUGGCCCUUGAUCAAGGCAUCCCUGAUAACUGAGUAUGAGAAUGAUUUUUGGCACGAGCCAAGCUUUUCAGGAAAUCAUAAGCCUAGUUGUUUAUUUGGUUGAAAUAAUUUGAAAGGUAAUGAAAUUACAGUAUAAUGAUUUAUUUUAAUUGUCUCUAUUUACUCGGCUUUAGAUAUUUUAGAUUAUAUUUGUUUACUCACUGGGAUUAUAUAAUCUCACCACCCUCCUUUCCACUUACUUCAGGCUCAGGAUAGUGUGUAGAUAGUUGAUAUCGUCGAAGGCUAUAGUCGGCUUUACUACUCCAAAAAUUGUAAGUUUACUGCCUUUGUGCACUUUGGUUCCUUGUGGGCCCACGAGUCACUGUAAGUAAAUUUCAUAUCCCAGUUAUCUAUAUUGUAGUACGUAUGAAUUUAUUUAGCUUUUACAUUACAAAAAAAAUUAAUUACCGAUGAAUCUAUAAAUAUUGUUUUACAAGAAAUUAGAAUAUUUUAUUGAAUAUUUUUAUUUUAUUCAAAUAGUUGCAAUAUCAUUUUUAAUAAAUGUUUUAAACACUCAAAUUUAUUUUAAAUCAUGAAAUAUGUGUUUUNNNNNNUUUAUAAAAUUUAUUUUACAAGAAAAUAGUUUAUGUUAUUGAAUAUUUUUAUUUUAUUCAAAUAGUUGCAAUAUCAUUUUUAAUAAAUGUUUUAAACACUCAAAUUUAUUUUAAAUUAUGAAAUGUGUGUUUUCCACUCAUCUACUGUAUUUUUAGUCGGGUUCGAAAAAUUUCGAGGAAAAAUGAAGAAAACGCCAUUGUGAGGCGAAAAUUAUUUUUCCAUGGUUUUGGAAGGGAAAAAGCUUGAAAUUCUUUAAAAACGAGGUUUGGCGAUGAUUACUCACAGGGGAGAUGAGAAAAAUGGUACUAAA